GAUAACAAUUCCCCUGUAUUCGGUGGCGAGCUUGAUAGUGGGAUCCACGGGAGUGGAAAUAGCUCUACCAGGAAGGUCUGGGUGUUCCGAUAUAAGAUCAAGAGCAAAUUUUCGUUGUGUGAUGAUCAAACCCUCUGGGAUGUGCAAGAUUUCCAUUCCAAGAAAUUAGCAGUAUGUCAUCAACGUAUACUGCUAAGAGAGUGAUGAGUGAACCAGAGGCCUUGUAAAAAAGUGAAUAAUCUGUAAGUGAAGCAGUGAAACCUCAUCUACCCAAAGCUACAGAUAAAUGAGCAUACCAUUGGCGUGAUGCCUGCUUGAGCCGUAGAGAGACUUCCUCAGGUGCAAACAACAUUAUUAGAAGGUGGAGAGAUGCCAGGAGGAAAUCUCAUGAAGACUGCUUCAUCCAAGUCUCCGUGUAAGAAGGCGUUAUUCACGUCUAAUUGAAAUAAAGGCCAUGAAUUCUUGAUAGCAACAACAAGAAUGCACCGGAUAGUAGUCAUCUUCACUACAGGGGAGAGGUUUCUUUCCCGGAGACAAAGGGACAAUUUCCCAUGUGGAAUUGGAAACAAGAGCUUGAAUUUCAUUUUCCAUGGCAAUUUUCCAGCCAGGAUGAAGUGCAGCUUCAUGCUCAUUCCACAAAUCUGAGUCUCUUUGAGAAUAGAGUACACUCUCUGCAGUGUCCUUGCUCAAAGAAUUCAACAACCAUGCAAUGACCAUGUCAUUACAUCUUGACCAUUGCUCAAAAAGAGGUGAGGUUUCUUCUGGGAAUUCUGCUUUAUCAUUAAUGAAACAUAGUUUAUUUUUGGCUGAGAGUGAGAUUAGUACUCCUCUCUUCCAGUUCCCAUAACUGUUGCCAUCAAAACUAACACUUAUAAGGUUCAUACCAAGUGAAUCUGAAGCAUUCAAAUGAUAAGGAUGAGUUGGUGGAAGAACAUCA